rnacentral:rRNA from 1 species
UACGAAGGGGGCUAGCGUUGCUCGGAAUCACUGGGCGUAAAGCGCACGUAGGCGGCUUUCUAAGUCAGGGGUGAAAUCCUGGAGCUCAACUCCAGAACUGCCUUUGAUACUGGGAAGCUAGAGUCCGGAAGAGGUGAGUGGAACUCCGAGUGUAGAGGUGAAAUUCGUAGAUAUUCGGAAGAACACCAGUGGCGAAGGCGGCUCACUGGUCCGGUACUGACGCUGAGGUGCGAAAGCGUGGGGAGCAAACAGG